GUUAGGGAAUUUCUGAUUUGAUUCUGCUUUGUAGCAAUCACGAUUUAAAGUUGUUAAUAUGGAGAAUAUUUAGUCCGUGCCUCUUCCUUUCUUUCAGUUUUCUGUGAAUUUUGUAACUCAUUGCUCAAGCUGUUGUAUCCUAUCUUGCUGAUCUAAAACCUGUCUAAAACUAAUUCUUCAUGCUUCUGAUUUUCAAAUUCUCUCUUUACAAACUUGUCUCUGCAAGAUAUUCAAAUGAUUUGGUGAUAUUCUUAUUGCCUUUUGGCAAUUGGGCAUUUCAUGUUCAUACUUGGAGGCUUGAUUAUCGCGAUGCCGUCGGUGUCGAGUGUCCCUGUAAUCUGAGAUGUGUUCACGAAAUGGCCGAGCAUAUGUAUUACAUUAGCAAAUCUGGAGUUUUCAAUGAUUAAAAGCGCUCAUCUCUGGUUGCGUAAGCUUUUAGAGAAGAACACUUGUUUCUUGUGGGAUCGGAGACAAAUGAGACCGAGAGUGCUGUUGGAACCAACAUUUUCUACGAGGUGAGUUCUUAGGGAAAACUGUUAUUUCUCAACUCAAUCUACUUAUGUUACUACAAAUUAGGGUUGGUCUUCUUUACUAAUGAAGUGUGAUUUCCUCGAUUCUGCGACCACAAAUACAGGAACUUCCUCAGCAGGUUAGGGCAUGUUUGCAAACGCGAAAGUUGAGCGCGUCGAAGCAGCAGAGUUUCGCCAUCCGACUUCUUGCUGGACGAGUGCGAAGUUGAGUUCCACAGCCGUACCAAAACUGCCCAUCCUGCUUUCACGGGUUGCGCAAUUCAUCCACAAGGUAAGCCCCAACCAAACAGCCCCUAUCUAGCGCGUUAGUGUGAGGUAAAAUAUAUUAAUACACAAAAGCUGUGUUCACAUGCAUUAGCAUCUUCUUCAGGGUAUCUCUUAGGAGCCGUUUAGUUCAAAGUUUGUAAUAUUCCGAAAAUAUUGUAUUAUUAUAUAUGAGGAAUGACAAAUAAGUUAAUUUAGCUUAUGGAAAAACUUUAAAUA
rnacentral:lncRNA from 1 species